AUUGAACGCUGGCGGCAUGCUUUACACAUGCAAGUCGAACGGUAACAGGCCGCAAGGUGCUGACGAGUGGCGAACGGGUGCGUAAUGCAUCGGAACGUGCCCAGUCGUGGUGGAUAACUACUCGAAAGAGUAGCUAAUACCGCAUACGAUCUAUGGAUGAAAGCGGGGGACUGUAAGGCCUCGCGCGAUUUUAGCGGCCGAUGUCAGAUUAGGUAGUUGGUGGGGUAAAGGCUCACCAAGCCAACGAUCUGUAGCUGGCCUGAGAGGACGACCAGCCACACUGGAACUGAGACACGGUCCAGACUCCUACGGGAGGCAGCAGUAGGGAAUAUUGGACAAUGGGCGCAAGCCUGACCCAGCAAUGCCGCGUGCGUGAAGAAGGCCUUCGGGUUGUAAAACGCUUUUAUUAGGAAAGAAAAGAUGAUGGUGAAUAUACGCAGGUCAUGACGGUACCGAAAGAAAAAGCAACGGCUAACUACGUG
rnacentral:rRNA from 1 species